UACGUAGGGUGCAAGCGUUGUCCGGAAUUAUUGGGCGUAAAGAGCUCGUAGGCGGUUCGUCGCGUCGGCUGUGAAAACCCGGAGCUCAACUCCGGGCCUGCAGUCGAUACGGGCGGACUUGAGUGUUGCAGGGGAGACUGGAAUUCCUGGUGUAGCGGUGAAAUGCGCAGAUAUCAGGAGGAACACCGGUGGCGAAGGCGGGUCUCUGGGCCGAUACUGACGCUGAGGAGCGAAAGCCAGGGGAGCGAACGGG
rnacentral:rRNA from 1 species